CCACUUCUAUGCUGAGGAUUCAUGGUGCUGGCAAAUAUGUUGAGAACCAACUUCUGGAGAGUCAGGAGAUGGGUGGAUUUGCCUCAGGUUGAACCAGAAGAGCUAUUCCUGACUAGUGAAACUGCUUACUGGGUGUUUAAAACCAAAAACAUGGGAGAUCAAAGUCAAGGGAGUAAAGUGUUCAAGGAAAAAGCAGCCAACAUUUUGGCCCUUGCCCCCUAAGUUCAGCCACAACCCAGAGAAUGAUGGGACCCCUCUCUGCAUCCUGCAACUCUGCAUGAUCCCUGCCCCAUGUGUGCCUUGUCCAGUCACCUGCCUCUGCCACUGUGGACCUCUGGCCUGCUCGGAUGCUGAACACCAUUCACUGUCCAGGCCCCACCUGAUAGAGAACAAGGACUUUGGGUUAUUUCCCCCAACUUUGCCCCCUUUCAGCAGGAAAAAGUUUGGAGAUGUCAUCACCCCUUAUUCCAUAGAAAUGGGAUGUAGAAAUUGAC